CUUCAGGGAACCGAUCAACAGCGGGGCGCCGGCGUCGCGCUCCUGGCCGUAGGUGGCCUGCAGCGCCUGCGCCUC
rnacentral:antisense_RNA from 1 species